UGCACGACGAGCUAUCAGCAACUGCGAGAAUUCCUUUUCAUUGAACAGAGGAAAUGGUCGAAGGUAAACAUGCCGAAAUGAAGGCUAACUGUCGAAGAUUUCGCAACUCCGGCAUUCCUAUCACUCAACGCUCUUUCCAUUAAUUUCAGAUGCUUACAUGCAAAAUGCUCGACGUAAAUGUGAUCACAAUCUUCAUUACUCGAGACAGGAGCUUUGGGAUCAAAGUUACAGUUUUUUGGACAAUCAAUAGCACGGUCCAGCAGGAACGAAGAGGACAGAGUGAGUUCGGCACGAACAAAUGCGUGGACUGUGCACA